AGCUCUCGUUUACGGUAAGGCAGCCUUCCAGUGACUACUCGUUUGGCUGGUUCGUGUGGAGCGAUGGCAUCCGCCAAGUGAGGAGCUCCAUUGCUGUCCAAGGAAUAAGCACAGCGUCAGUGGCAGUGGAGUAAAGAUUAAAUUAUAGAUAUAAACUUUGGUUAUAUGUUUUAACCUAUAAUCAUACUAAUGUGAAUAAUAAUAAUAAUAAUUAUUAUUAUAGUUAGAAGGGCCUCAAGAACUUGAUAUGCUAUUUGUUAAGGUGAGCAUUCUCACCAUAUAAAGAAAAAACCAAACAAGAUCAGUCA
rnacentral:lncRNA from 1 species